rnacentral:misc_RNA from 1 species
AAGGAUCAUUCAUAAUAAGUGUUUAUGGCACUUUUUUAAAUCCAUAUCCACCUUGUGUGCAAUGUUAGGUCUCUGUCAGUUUCGACCGACGAGAUUUUUAUACAUCAACUCAUUCUUUAAACCAAUUUGUCUGAAAAAUAUUAUGAAUACUUAAUUCAAAUACAACUUUCAACAACGGAUCUCUUGGCUCUC